UGCCGAUGAUGACCACGCCAUGCUAAUACUGACCAGCUGUGGGCUGGGAUGAGUUCAAUCUCUUCAAGGGCUGAGGCAC
ensembl:snoRNA